CCCCGCGGGUGCUCAGUAGUCAGUGUAGAUCCUGUGCGGCUGGCAGCAGCUACAUCUGGCUACUGGGUCUCUGCCGGCAGGC
rnacentral:pre_miRNA from 1 species